AUUGAACGCUGGCGGAAUGCUUUACACAUGCAAGUCGAGCGGCAGCACGGGGGCAACCCUGGUGGCGAGCGGCGAACGGGUGAGUAACACAUCGGAACAUGCCCAGUCGUGGGGGAUAACACUUCGAAAGAAGUGCUAAUACCGCAUACGUCCUGAGGGAGAAAGCGGGGGAUCGCAAGACCUCGCGCGAUUGGAGUGGCCGAUGUCAGAUUAGCUAGUUGGUGGGGUAAAGGCCUACCAAGGCAACGAUCUGUAGCUGGUCUGAGAGGAUGAUCAGCCACACUGGGACUGAGACACGGCCCAGACUCCUACGGGAGGCAGCAGUGGGGAAUUUUGGACAAUGGGGGCAACCCUGAUCCAGCCAUUCCGCGUGAGUGAAGAAGGCCUUCGGGUUGUAAAGCUCUUUCGGCAGGAACGAAACGGUGAGCUCUAACAUAGCUUGCUAAUGACGGUACCUGAAGAAGAAGCACCGGCUAACUACGU
rnacentral:rRNA from 1 species